CAUUGAACAUUGAAAGCAAGAUGGCGGCGCGCACAGACGCAGUGAUUCAGAGCUCUCUUUUUUGGUGUAAGUUUCUGAUACUUUUGCUUGUAUGGCGUGUGUAUUUGUUCACAUUAAGCUGGGCGAAUAACAUCUACAGCCGACCUGAACUUCUAGAGUUGGGAUUACGGAGUGAGCAAGACGUCACAGCUGAGUUUCUUCGCUCACACGAGACAGCGUUGGACAUGGCCAGGACGCCGGGCUCUCCAUGGAUUACAUUCCCCAGGGGAAGGAGGCGGAGGCGGCGCAGGAACACAGUCUGGCUGUCAUGUUCUUGUGUGGGACGGACAGCAGCGAUUGCGUUAUUAAAUGGAAAAAGCAGGAAACAUAUAUCUGUUUCCCGCUGUCGGAAGCAGAUUCUGCCCUUCUCCCGCUAACCCUUCUCCAGGUAAGAUGUGUGUCUGCUGGGUGUUCACAUUAACAAUGGUUUUAUUAUUAAACGCAAGACUAUGAAAACGAUCUUCUAACUUGUGAGGGAAAAAAUAGCCAUAUCUUGUAACUUUUGUCCAGAUAGCUUAUCGGUAAGUCAACUAUGUGUAAGCUAGUAGUUACUGUAUUCCCGCCGAGCGUGGAGCAUCACCAAAGAGUAGGCUACGUUAUUAUGUGAUAUGCAAUAACAUGAGAAAUAAUGUCUCAUUAGGCACCCUUAAAACCUGUGUAUUGAUAAAAAAAAAAAAACGUGACCAUUUUGUAUUCAUUCAGAAGAUGGGGAAAUCGUGGUUCAACCUGUUGCAUACUUUUUAAACCUUUCUGCAAAUAAACACAGUUAGACUGAUAGCUAGCCUACAGUACUAAAUAUUUGUCUCUGUUCUCCUUGUAGUUUCUGUCAUCCCAUCCCCAAACACCGACCCAGCAUCUCCACAUAUAGACCCAAAGGCACUUUUAAGAGCCAUCUAUCUAUCUAUCUAUCUAUCUAUCUAUCUAUCUAUCUAUCUAUCUAUCUAUCUAUCUAUCUCUCUCUCUCUCUCUCUCUCUCUGUCUCUCUAUCUAUCUCUCAGCUAUCUGUGUAACUAUUUGUUUGUCUGCCUGUUUGUCUGUAUUGGUUUGUUUGUUUAUUUGUUUGUCUGUAUCUGUCUGUCUGACUGUCUGUCUGUGUUCCUUGUCAUGCCAGGAGGGUCGACAAAAAAGACUAGUCCCUUUUGCAAGGGAGUUUUGUUUUUUGUGCCCAGAAGGUGUGCCCUCACUGCAAGACAGAGCAGCCUCUGAAGCAGCGCCUUAAAAAGAAGCUUCAGAGGUUUGAUGGCAAGAGAGAAGAAUGGGUGGUUGGCCGUAAGAAGAACCACAACGUGGCAUCCAUCAAGGAUGAAGCCACCAUCAUGGUUUGUGCAGAUUUUAAAAUUGCAUUGAACUGCUCAGAUAAUAUUGGAAAUAAGUUAUGUGGUACACAUGGAAAAUCCUGUGAUCCUCAGUAAUUUCUGUGUUCACAACCAAAAAGUUCAUAGAAAAAAUUGACUGCAUUUAUACCAUUACAGCUUGUAAAAUAUAUACACUGCCAACUAUAAAUGCAUUUACAGCAUUCACCUAUUCAGUCAUAGAAUCACAAAGGUUUCUAUUUUUAAUAAAUUGUCAUUGUUAAUGCUU
ensembl:lncRNA